GAUGAACGCUAGCGGCAGGCCUAAUACAUGCAAGUCGAGGGGCAGCAGUACUUUUCGGAGUAGCUGGCGACCGGCGCACGGGUGCGUAACGCGUAUGCAAUCUACCUACAGCAGAGGGAUAGCCCGUGGAAACAUGGAUUAAUACCUCAUAAUACAGGGGGCCCACCUGGGCAUAUUGUUAAAGAUUUAUCGGCUGUAGAUGAGCAUGCGUCCCAUUAGCUAGUUGGUACGGUAACGGCGUACCAAGGCGAUGAUGGGUAGGGGUUCUGAGAGGAUGAUCCCCCACACUGGUACUGAGAUACGGACCAGACUCCUACGGGAGGCAGCAGUAGGGAAUAUUGGUCAAUGGACGGAAGUCUGAACCAGCCAUGCCGCGUGCAGGAAGACGGCCUUCUGGGUUGUAAACUGCUUUUAUCAGGGAAGAAAAAGGCCUUGCGAGGCAAAUUGCCGGUACCUGAAGAAUAAGCACCGGCUAACUCCGUGCCAGCAGCCGCGGUAAUACGGAGGGUGCAAGCGUUGUCCGGAUUUAUUGGGUUUAAAGGGUGCGUAGGCGGCCUGUUUAGUCAGUGGUGAAAUCCAACAGCUCAACUGUUGAUGUGCCAAUGAUACUGACAGGC
rnacentral:rRNA from 1 species